rnacentral:rRNA from 1 species
UACGGAGGAUGCGAGCGUUAUCCGGAUUUAUUGGGUUUAAAGGGUGCGCAGGCGGCACGGCAAGCCGGCGGUCAAAUCGCGGGGCUCAACCCCGCCCAGCCGUCGGAACUGCCGGGCUAGAGUGGGCGAGAAGUGCGCGGAAUGCGUGGUGUAGCGGUGAAAUGCAUAGAUACCACGCAGAACUCCGAUUGCGAAGGCAGCGCACCGGCGCCCUACUGACGCUCAGGCACGAAAGCGUGGGUAUCGAACAGG